AGCUGCGAAGCCGAUUGAAGUUUGACAGAUUUGUGAAACCAAUAUGCUUACCUUCUCGAGAGAUUGAUGUUGCCGACAAAAGACUUCUUGUGGCUGGAUGGGGGAGGCCAACUAAAUAUGCCCGAAUCAGUCAUAUCCUCCUCUUCGCGCAAGUUGUUGGUAUGCCAGACGACGAAUGCAAAAGCGCCAUAGAGACAACUGUAAUAGACCAGACUACACCAAUACUUGGCGGCCCACCGCUGUGUGCGAUGAUGCUAGACGGAAUCUCAUGUAAGGGAGACUCCGGCGGCCCAAUGACGCUCUCGAAAAGCAAUGGAAAAUCUGUGCAAGUGGGAUUGGUGUCUUUGGUUCCCGGAUGUCCAGAAGAAGGGACGUUAGCUAGGCCAGAAAUACAAACCAGAAUAUCAGGCUACUGGUCUUGGAUCCGCAUGGCAUUGAAGCAACCGAAACAGUGGCACAAGCUGCACGUUGACUCAUACCCGUGAACAUUUAUUAAAUCGAUGAAUAAAUAUCGGCUACAGUGGC